CCCCAGGGCUGUAGCUGGGUAAAAAGAGAUGCCAGUCAUGACUGUCCCUCAGCCACAGCUGCUGUUUCUACCAAAAAAUGUGUCCCUUUUAUAGAGGGGGAAACAAGCGUCCUGGGGCCACAGUUACUAUCCAGCUGGGUGGGUUUGAGGCCGGGAUCUGGCCCUCAGAAUAGGGAGUGGGGAUGGCAAGGCCCCCAGUUUCCCCUUGGGGAAGUUUCCCAUGAAGGAGCUCAGCAUCUCUUCUGGAGGUGGCAGGACUGGGAGGCAAGGCCUUGGGCAGGCGCUCCCUGCUGUGUGCCUCAACCUCCCCAUCUCCUCAGUGAGGGAGGCCAUGUCUUGUUGGGGGCACGGGCAGCCCCGUGGGAGUGAAGUCAGAGCCCACCCUGAGGGGCACGGGGCUGAGCUGCUGCCUUCACCUCUUCACAGAGACUGAGCAGAUCCCAGAGCAGCCGCCCUGGUGACUGCCUGCAGGUGGCACUUCGAAUCCACCCGCUCAAUGACGCAGAACUGAAGGAGGGAGCCGCGGUCAUCGCCCACAAAGUGGGGGACCAGAUGGUGAUGCUCAUGGACCCCAGCGAGGACCCCGAGGACGUGGCGCGAACACGCCG
ensembl:lncRNA novel transcript